rnacentral:ncRNA from 20 species
GUCAAAGCAAGCUUUGACGCUCCAGUUUAUUGGGGGACUACGUUAGCUAGGAAUAUAUAGGCACCACGGGAUUAGCUAAGUCCCGUACUCUGCG